rnacentral:rRNA from 13 species
ACGGAUCGUUUACUUUGAAAAAAUCAGAGUGUUUCAAGCAGGCAGCUCGCUCUUGCAUGGAUUAGCAUGGGAUAAUGAAAUAGGACUCUGGUGCUAUUUUGUUGGUUUCGAACACCAGGAGUAAUGAUUAACAGGGACAGUCAGGGGCACUCGUAUUCCGUCGAGAGAGGUGAAAUUCUCAGACCAACGGAAGACGAACCACUGCGAAAGCAUUUGCCAGGGAUGUUUUCACUGAUCAAGAACGAAAGUUAGGGGAUCGAAGACGAUCAGAUACCGUCGUAGUCUUAACCAUAAACCAUGCCGACUAGGGAUUGGAGGGUGUUCGUUUCGACCUCUUCAGCACCUUACGGGAAACUAAAGUCUUUGGGUUCCGGGGGGAGUAUGG